GGGGGCGUAAAGGUUUCGACGGGGAUUUUGAAGCAUGAUAAGCGAGUAGAGGAGCGCACCCUCUCUAAACGGCGUACGUUUUAAAAUUAGACGACAACGAUAAUUUUGAAUUAGCUGCUGCUUAAGUCAGCGCUCGUCUUGCCCUUGAGUACCACGGCUUGGGUAAAGGCGUCGAUUAGUGGUGAACGUCAUUGGGCGAAGGCUGUGACCCUUUGAUGUAUUACGGUCUACUGAUCUGUCGCGCGUGUCUGUUUGCGCGGCUUUGAGGGAAUGGGCAUUGCCGAAAUAACAGAAUACACUCGUAGAAAUUCGUGGGGAUAGGUUUUCGGACAGGGGUUCGACUCCCCUCGCCUCCAUAU
rfam:Ruminococcus sp. CAG:579 genomic scaffold, scf283